CAUCUAUAGUGGGGGGCACUCCUCUUGGCGUUCAAUACUGUGAGGUAGUUGUCAAUCAUGUUUUCAUGAGAGAAGCUAUACUACCUCGCCCUUAUGGAGCCUUAAAGUCUGUUGGAGAUGCUCGUGGGAGAUCCAUUGCUUGGCCACAUGACAGAAUCAAGGAGGACAUGAAGUCUUCAAAGCUGUCAAAAGGUCCAGGUCCUGGUACUUAAGUACUAAUUGCCCAUGCAAUCACAGGUGAACAGGCAACUAGCUGGUGGAGUACGUAGUAAUCUUUUGGCAGUAAGGCAUGUUACAAGCUUUGGAGUGACCUUUUGUGCAACAAGAAUAUAUUUUGUGUGAUUGUGUGGUUAGAUUUUUUUUUUAUUAGAGAGAAGCUUGUAUAUUCUCUCCCAGUGGGUCAUAUGCAUAUGGCACCAUAUAAUAGGCUGGAACUUAUGACCUAACAGUUUGAUAUUGGACAUGUAUUUUGGUACUGUAUUUGACAUCUAUCUAUGCUGAUGCCACCUGGUGGAUCCUGA